AAACCAACAGGGAUUGCCUUAGUAACUGCGAGUGAAGCGGCAAGAGCUCAAAUUUGAAAUCUGGCACUUUUAGUGUCCGAGUUGUAAUUUGUAGAAGUGUCUUUUGAUUCAGUCCUUGCAUAUGUUCCUUGGAACAGGACAUCAUAGAGGGUGAGAAUCCCGUUCAUGGUGGGGAGUCUGUUUCUUUGUAAAGCACUUUCGACGAGUCGAGUUGUUUGGGAAUGCAGCUCUAAGUGGGUGGUAAAUUCCAUCUAAAGCUAAAUAUUGGCGAGAGACCGAUAGCGAACAAGUACAGUGAUGGAAAGAUGAAAAGAACUCCGAAAGGAGAGUGAAAAAGGACGUGAAAUUGUUGAAAGGGAAGUGCUUGAGAUCAGUCUUAGGUUUUGGUGAUCAGUUUUCCUUUUGGUUAAUGCACUCGCCUUUGCCUAGGCCAACAUCAGUUUUCGCGAUAGGAUAAUGACUUUGGAAUGUGGCUCUCUCGGGAGUGUUAUAGCCUUUGUUGAUACUAUUUGCUUGGACUGAGGACUGCGCUUUUGCUAGGAUGUUGGCAUAAUGAUCUUAAGCAGC
rnacentral:rRNA from 1 species